AGUGAACGCUGGCGGUAGGCCUAACACAUGCAAGUCGAACGGCAGCACAGUAAGAGCUUGCUCUUACGGGUGGCGAGUGGCGGACGGGUGAGGAAUACAUCGGAAUCUACUUUUUCGUGGGGGAUAACGUAGGGAAACUUACGCUAAUACCGCAUACGACCUACGGGUGAAAGCAGGGGAUCUUCGGACCUUGCGCGAUUGAAUGAGCCGAUGUCGGAUUAGCUAGUUGGCGGGGUAAAGGCCCACCAAGGCGACGAUCCGUAGCUGGUCUGAGAGGAUGAUCAGCCACACUGGAACUGAGACACGGUCCAGACUCCUACGGGAGGCAGCAGUGGGGAAUAUUGGACAAUGGGCGCAAGCCUGAUCCAGCCAUACCGCGUGGGUGGAGAAGGCCUGCGGGUUGUAAAGCCCUUUUGUUGGGAAAGAAAAGCAGCAGGUUAAUACCCCGCUGUUCUGACGGUACCCAAAGAAUAAGCACCGGCUAACUUCGUG
rnacentral:rRNA from 1 species